rnacentral:rRNA from 1 species
UAGCGUAGGGGGCAAGCGUUGUCCGGAUUUAUUGGGCGUAAAGAGCGUGUAGGCGGCCAUACAGGUCCGUUGUGAAAACUCGAGGCUCAACCUCGAGACGUCGAUGGAAACCGUAUGGCUAGAGUCCGGAAGAGGAGAGUGGAAUUCCUGGUGUAGCGGUGAAAUGCGCAGAUAUCAGGAAGAACACCCGUGGCGAAGGCGGCUCUCUGGGACGGUACUGACGCUGAGACGCGAAAGCGUGGGGAGCGAACAGG